UUUUUAGCAUAAGUUUGUCCCAUGCAGUAUUUGGGACCCACUUACGCUAAAA
rnacentral:miRNA from 1 species